CUGGCCAGCCCAGCUUUCCAGGGCACCUGUCCUGCACCAGAAAGGGGUAGAAACACGGCUGAUGGUGACCUGUUUGUGCAAACUGAUCGAGCAUCUUUAGUGCAAUCUGAUGACGCCUCAAUUUGGUGAUUUUAGUGCGAAAAAAUGAGAGAUUCUAGUCAAGACGCAUGAGACCCUGUGCUGGCGCUGAGGCGGCCGGGCCUGCGAGGUGUUGACGUCUCGGGGAACGCCGUGGGUCUUCUCUGAUCAUCCUGACUGGAAGGACCCCCUCUCUAACACAAGGAAGGACUUUUUAUAUUAUAUUUAUUAUGGGUUUUUUAUGUUUUCUCUCCUCAGCGGGAGGCACGGCCCGGGAUGGAGCUGCAGAGGGCAGUGUGGGAGAGGGAAAGCCCGGCCAAGAUGGCGGCGGGGCCGGCGCGCCCGGGCACUAGAGGGAGAUGGCGGGCUGCGGCUCGAGCAGCUCUCGCAAAGCCAAAAAUACGACUUUGGGGGGCUGUUUGCGUUUUUAACUCCCAAAUGGACCCUCCCUGCCUGCAGCUCUUGUGCCGGGCUGCAGAGAGGCGGCAGCCGGCGCCCCUCGGGCGGCCGCGCCUCGAGCUCUGCACAGAUCUCAGCAGCUCCUGCUUCUUAUUUUUAGAGUUGUGAGGGGCUGGGGGAGAGUCUGGUCGGAAGUUAUUUUGAUAAAGGCAUCUUGAGAAACAUCUUGAGGAACGCAGCAAGUUGGAAGUAAAGGCUGAGGAAAAAAACCAUACUGUCUGUAAGUUCAUGUGUCGCCUGAGGUGAUGGAAAAAUGAAGUGGGAAAAGGAGCAGGUGCGACAGACUGGCGUUCGCAUGUGUUCAUUUACUUGUCAUAAAAACAGGCAGCAAACGCUUUGCUUUCUCCGCCAGCUCCUCGGAACGUGGUCCCUGGUGCCCUCAGCCCUCGGGAGGACAGACUGGCAGCAGCAGCAGAAAUGCCAGGGAAGGUCAAUGUGGUGACCUGCAGCUCCACAUAAAGUGGAGUUAAAAGACUGAAUUUGCUCAUCACUGAAGGGCAAACCAUGAAUGUCCUUGACUUUGGCUUCCAAAAUACCUGCUGCAUGUUGGUGUGUGAACUCAGCACUUUCCUGAACCUGGGAAUCCAGCUGAAAAAUAAGAAGACAGCUCUGCAACACCACACCUGUUGGUGGUUGACUUCAGGAAGUUCAGAUGGAUUAUCUGGAAGGCAAAUACAGAGUUAGCACCUCUGAAAUAUCUGGUAACUGAAGACCUGUUGAAGGUAAUAAACUCUCUCACUGCUGAGCAUCAGAGAAAUCACAAGAGUUCCUGAAUUUCUC